UCCGUAGGUGGAUCAAUAAGUCAGAGGUGAAAUCCUGCAGCUUAACUGUAGAACUGCCUUUGAUACUGUUGAUCUUGAGUCAUUAUGAAGUGGUUAGAAUGUGUAGUGUAGCGGUGAAAUGCAUAGAUAUUACACAGAAUACCGAUUGCGAAGGCAGAUCACUAAUAAUGUACUGACACUGAGGGACGAAGGCGUGGGGAGCGAACAGGAUUAGAUACCCUGGUAGUCC
rnacentral:rRNA from 1 species